UCCGUAGGCGGUGUGGCAAGUCGGUAGUGAAAUCUCUCGGCUUAACUGAGAGGCUGCUGCCGAAACUGCCAUGCUGGAGUGCGAGAGAGGCGAGUGGAAUUGCGGGUGUAGCGGUGAAAUGCGUAGAUAUCCGCAGGAACAUCCGAGGCGAAAGCGGCUCGCUGGAUCGCAACUGACACUGAGGGACGAAAGCUAGGGGAGCAAACAGGAUUAGAUACCCUGGUAGUCCUAGCCCUAAACCAUCAGGACUUGGGGUUUGCCCUGUACGGGGCAAGUCCCGGAGCUAACGCGUUAAGUCCUGCGCCUGGGGAGUACGGUCGCAAGGCUGAA
rnacentral:rRNA from 1 species